UCAAGCGAAUAAGUGCAUGUGGUGGAUGCCUUGGCGAUUACAGGCGAUGAAGGACGCGAUAGCCUGCGAAAAGUUGUGGGGAGCUGGCAAAUAAGCAUUGAUCCACAAAUGUCCGAAUGGGGAAACCCGGCCUUUUAGGUCAUCCUAGACUGAAUACAUAGGUCUAGCGAAGCGAACGCGGCGAACUGAAACAUCUAAGUAGCUGCAGGAAAAGAAAUCAACCGAGAUUCCCAAAGUAGUGGCGAGCGAAAUGGGACCAGCCUUCAAGAUUUAGCACCGGUGUUAUCAAAACGGAAUGGAAAGUCCGGCCAUAGUGGGUGAUAGCCCCGUAUGAGAAAACCCUGGUGUGGAACUAAGCUUGAGAAAAGUAGGGCGGGACACGUGAAAUCCUGUCUGAAGAUGGGGGGACCAUCCUCCAAGGCUAAAUACUCGUAAUCGACCGAUAGUGAACCAGUACCGUGAGGGAAAGGCGAAAAGAACCCCGGGAGGGGAGUGAAAUAGAUCCUGAAACCGCAUGCAUACAAACAGUCGGAGCCUCGUAAGGGGUGACGGCGUACCUUUUGUAUAAUGGGUCAGCGACUUACAUUCAGUGGCGAGCUUAACCGAAUAGGGAAGGCGUAGCGAAAGCGAGUCCGAAUAGGGCGUUCAGUCGCUGGGUGUAGACCCGAAACCAAGUGAUCUAUCCAUGGCCAGGUUGAAGGUGCGGUAACACGUACUGGAGGACCGAACCCACUAACGUUGAAAAGUUAGGGGAUGAGCUGUGGAUAGGGGUGAAAGGCUAAACAAACUUGGAAAUAGCUGGUUCUCUCCGAAAACUAUUUAGGUAGUGCCUCGUGUAUCACCUUCGGGGGUAGAGCACUGUCAUGGUUGAGGGGUCCAUUGCGGAUUACCUCGCCAUAGCAAACUCCGAAUACCGAAGAGUGCAAUCACGGGAGACAGACAUCGGGUGCUAACGUCCGGUGUCAAGAGGGAAACAACCCAGACCGCCAGCUAAGGUCCCUAAAUAUUGCUAAGUGGGAAACGAAGUGGGAAGGCUAAAACAGUCAGGAGGUUGGCUUAGAAGCAGCCACCCUUUAAAGAAAGCGUAAUAGCUCACUGAUCGAGUCGUCCUGCGCGGAAGAUGUAACGGGGCUAAGCAAUAUACCGAAGCUGCGGAUGCGAGCUUGCUCGCAUGGUAGGAGAGCGUUCUGUAAGCCUGUGAAGGUGUCUUGUAAAGGAUGCUGGAGGUAUCAGAAGUGCGAAUGCUGACAUGAGUAGCGAUAAAGGGGGUGAAAGGCCCCCUCGCCGUAAGCCCAAGGUUUCCUACGCAACGUUCAUCGGCGUAGGGUGAGUCGGCCCCUAAGGCGAGGCAGAGAUGCGUAGCUGAUGGGAAGCAGGUUAAUAUUCCUGCACCGUCGUAUGAUGCGAUGGGGGGACGGAUCGCGGAAGGUUGUCCGGGUGUUGGAAGUCCCGGUCCCUGCAGUGGAGAAGGCGCUUAGGCAAAUCCGGGCGCGUAAUUCAAGGCUGUGGGGCGAGUGAACUUGUUCACGAAGCAAUUGGAAGUGGUUCCAAGAAAAGCCUCUAAGCUUCAGUCAUACGAGACCGUACCGCAAACCGACACAGGUGGGCGAGAUGAGUAUUCUAAGGCGCUUGAGAGAACUCGGGAGAAGGAACUCGGCAAAUUGGUACCGUAACUUCGGGAUAAGGUACGCCCUUGUAGCUUAACUGGCCUGCGCCAGAAGGGUGAAGGGGUUGCAAUAAACUGGUGGCUGCGACUGUUUAAUAAAAACACAGCACUCUGCAAACACGAAAGUGGACGUAUAGGGUGUGACGCCUGCCCGGUGCCGGAAGAUUAAAUGAUGGGGUGCAAGCUCUUGAUUGAAGUCCCGGUAAACGGCGGCCGUAACUAUAACGGUCCUAAGGUAGCGAAAUUCCUUGUCGGGUAAGUUCCGACCUGCACGAAUGGCGUAACGAUGGCCACACUGUCUCCUCCCGAGACUCAGCGAAGUUGAAGUGUUUGUGAUGAUGCAAUCUACCCGCGGCUAGACGGAAAGACCCCAUGAACCUUUACUGUAGCUUUGCAUUGGACUUUGAACCGGUCUGUGUAGGAUAGGUGGGAGGCUUUGAAGC
rnacentral:rRNA from 1 species